CCGCCCCGCGGCCCGGCUGGACCGGCCGUCAGUUGGGUUCGAGCAGCUGGCCGGGUCUCGGCUGUGCCCGGCGUGGUUGCCAUGGCGGCGGUUGCCGAGGUGACGAGGUGGCGGCUGCUGCUGGUGCUGAGUGUGGCGGCGCUGGGGGCCACGGGCGCUCCGCGGCCCCCCAACAUCCUGCUGCUGCUCAUGGACGACAUGGGGUGGGGUGACCUGGGGGUGUACGGAGAACCUUCCAGAGAGACCCCGAAUUUGGACCGGAUGGCCGCGGAAGGGAUGCUUUUCCCAAACUUCUACACGGCCAACCCCCUGUGCUCACCAUCGAGGGCGGCUCUGCUCACUGGACGUCUGCCCAUCCGCAACGGCUUCUACACGACCAGCGGGCACGCCAGGAACGCCUACACGCCUCAGGAGAUCGUGGGCGGCAUCCCAGACUCGGAGCACCUCCUGCCUGAGCUGCUGAAGGAGGCCGGCUACGUCAGCAAGAUCGUGGGCAAGUGGCACCUGGGCCACAGGCCUCAGUUCCACCCCCUGAAGCACGGAUUUGACGAGUGGUUUGGAUCCCCCAACUGCCACUUCGGACCUUAUGACAACAGGGCCAGGCCCAACAUCCCUGUGUACAGGGACUGGGAGAUGGUUGGCAGAUAUUAUGAAGAAUUUCCAAUUAAUCUGAAGACUGGAGAAGCCAACCUCACUCAGAUCUACUUACAGGAAGCCCUGGACUUCAUCAGGAGGCAGCAGGCAGCUCGGCGCCCUUUCUUUCUCUACUGGGCCGUCGACGCCACACAUGCACCUGUUUAUGCAUCCAAGCCUUUCUUGGGUACCAGUCAGCGAGGGCGGUAUGGGGACGCUGUCCGGGAGAUGGAUGACAGUGUGGGGAAAAUCCUGCGCCUCCUUCAGGACCUGAGGAUCACGGAGGACACGUUUGUUUUCUUCACAUCUGACAAUGGCGCUGCCCUCAUUUCUGCUCCCAAGCAAGGCACGUGUUGGAGCAUUCCCCUCUGGUCGUCAUGUCACCCGGCCAAACGUGGCAGUAAUGGCCCCUUUCUGUGUGGGAAGCAGACCACCUUUGAAGGCGGGAUGAGGGAGCCUGCGAUCGCGUGGUGGCCCGGGCACAUCCUUGCUGGCCAGGUGAGCCACCAGCUGGGCAGCAUCAUGGACCUCUUCACCACCAGCCUAGCCCUCGCAGGCCUGGAGCCACCCAGCGACAGGACCAUUGACGGCGUCAGCCUUCUCCCAGCCAUGCUGCAGGGCCAGCUGACAGACAGGCCGAUAUUCUAUUACCGUGGCAACACGCUGAUGGCGGUCACUCUCGGCCAGUACAAGGCCCACUUCUGGACCUGGACCAAUUCCUGGGAGGAGUUCAGACAGGGCAUUGAUUUCUGCCCUGGGCAGAACGUCUCAGGAGUCACCACCCACACGCAAGAGGAGCACACAAAGCUGCCCCUGAUCUUCCACCUAGGACGCGACCCGGGAGAGAGGUUCCCCCUCAGCUAAGCUGUGAUGAGCGGCACCACAGGCCGUGGUGGGCAGCCCCUGAGACCUUCAGCCAUCUUGCAGACGCCUCCACAGCAGAAGCAAACCUGGGUGCCCGGGGUAUGGGCUCCCUCGAGGUGGGUCAAAGGAGAGAGAUGGCGGCUGAGCCUCUGAGAAGCCCACCCUGACAGCAGACCCACGUGAUAUGGCUUCUCAGACACACCCACAAGAAGGAUGAAGCAACGAGCCGGUCAUAGUGGAAGCUCGGUGCAACUCCUGCCCUGCCCCUCGCUGGCUGUGAGACCAUGGCCGGACGGCCCCCCUCCCUCGCCUCAGUGUCCCCCGAAAUUCGCAGUCACGGUGCCUGCCUCGCAGGGCUAUGCAGAGACAUGCAGAACACACCCGCCUGCAAGUGCUCUCAUUAGAUCCACAUCCUUGCUACUCGGGGUGUGCUGCGGCAUUUGGAGUCACUACCCCAGAGAAGACGGUCCCCUCGGGCAGCUGCCUGCAGCCCCCUGUGCUCCAGAUGGGGAGACCUAGACCUAGGGUGGGAUGUGACUGGCCCAGGGUUACCCUAGGGGGAUGCAGAGCUCUGGGCAAGAAGACCCUGCAGCCGCUGCCUGGCCCGGAAGGAUUCGGGGUGAAUUUGGGGCCUUCUGGGGCUCCCCACAUACACUCACCUCACAUCACCACCGAGAAGCCUUGCCACCCAAACUACUGAACUUGGUUAAGCCCGUCCUUUCCAGUGAACUUGGCCCAGAGUCCUGGAGAGACAUGAGACACACCUGAAACCCUGCGUGGCCCGUGGGUAGAGUGGGUGCAGCCAACAGCAGGGAGCCGGCGGGUGUGGAGGCCCGAGGAGCGGGCUGGCCUGGGAAUGACAGUCUCAGAGGGACCCAGAGACAGGGUGAAUGGGGCAGGAGCAGCCACUCCUGAAACAAAGCUGGGCCAGAGGGCUUAAGAAGGGGCACAGGAGUGGGAAAGAGGCAACCGGGAGCCGCAGAGCCCUGGUGCAGCUCAGGGACACUGGGUGAUGCCCUCGCUGGUUCUGGCUAAGGCCGAGGCCCUUGCGGCUGCCGUCCCUGUCACGUGCCUCUGCCUGAAAUCUCCUUUGUAGGCUUUGCCAGCACCGAGUAUGUGGAUGCCCUUGGCAGGAUCACCCCGGUCGUCCUGCAGCACCAGGAGGCCUUGGUCCCUGGACAGCCA